CAACGCGGAGUUCACGUGGAAUGUCAAGCGGGCAAAAGCACACAAAUGAGGCAAAAUAGUCGCAGAAUCCGCGUUCGGUGUGAACGCACCUUAAGGGAUAGGUUAAAUGCAGAGGACAAUUGCUCCAUUGUCAGAACAAUAAACUUCAUAUUGUUAUUAUUAUUAUUAUUAUUAUUUUUUUUAUAAUCCAUUUGGAUUACAAGACCAUUUGCACAUAGGACUUCGGGUACAAAAGACGUUUCUAAAACUAUUUACAAACUAUUUAAAGUCCUUCAUUUUACUUGGAAAUGGCAACUAUAAACAAGUCAAAAAAUGUAGGAUAGAUGCCAGUCUUUCCAGGUGUGGAUGUCCCAGCAAAAGGAAGUGCCAAAACAGCUAGCUAUGUCUUAGUCUUUAGUUCAGUUGUUGAAUGUUAAAGUUUGUGCCUGUAAAAAAAUAAAAUAUAUAUUAAAUGGGUGGUUCAUGUUUAGAAAUGCAUGAAUACAAAUAAACUGCAAGACCACUGGAACAAUAUCCUUUGGACAAAUGAGACCAAUUUAGAGAUGUUUAUCUAUAAUGCACAGUGCCACAUGUAGCGAAAAAUUAAACACACACAAACUCACGAUACCAACUGCCAGGCAUAGUGGUGGAGAGGUGAUGAUUUGGGCUUCUUUUACAUUGGGCACCCUGAGAUCUUUGACAAUAAACUUCUCUGUAUACCAAAGUACUUUAGAGUAAAGUGUGACACCAUCUAUCUGACAGCAAGAGAAUGGCUGAAAUAGGUUCAUCGGCAGGUCAAUGAUCUCAAACAAAAGAGCAAAUCUACAACUGAAUUCCUCAAAAUGACAUUUAUCAACGUGUUUAUAAUGGCCCAGUCAGACCCUAAUUAAAUAAAAAAAUGUUGUGGCAGGAUCUGCAGAUAGCUGUUCAUUAAUAAAUAACCCCAGACCCGAAGAGAAUAAAGUCAUAUAGAAAAUGACUACUUGAAGCCCUGGCUGCCAAAAGUCACCUGGCAAGCUCUUAAAUCAUAUGUGGGUGUACUUAGUUUCCCCAUUAUUAUUGUUGUCACAAGUCUUUUGGUAGAUAUUUAAUCACAUUUAAGCUCGACUUGGAUUUUUUUUCUGACCCAAUUGGAGCCACAUGGGAACCUCACAGCAUUGGAAUUACAACCUAUUUUAGUGUCUGACCUUUUAGUUUUACAUAAUUUCAAGGUUGUGGUCAAAAUUUCUCUGGGAUAGGCUAUUUUGAGAAAUUAGGCGAGAGACAAAAGCUGGCCUCUUUUGUGGUCUCUGUUGAAGGCAGUCAUGGACUAGUUGUUUGACUUUUUCAGAAGUAAGGCCUUAAACUACCAAAAAUAACUCUUUCUCAUCAGAAACGGACCCUCCAUGUUGGGACUUCAUCUAGUAUGUGCUUGUCACACAGUAUCUUUUGGGGGCUAGCAUGCCUGCUAACUGUACAGGGUUUAUUUUUAGUCGUGCUUUUUCCUUCCAUGAAAGAAAACGUAUAGAGAUAGAUAUGGGGUCAGUACAACCCUACAGCUGUGUGUUUGAACUUUUUAUCUAAUGUAAUAGUAGUAAGACUUUCAUUGCGGUUUGCCUUGCACUUUUUAAUAAUAAUACAGCACAUACUGUGUGUAACCCAGGUGUACAUUUUAACUUCCAUUUCCUCAUUCUCCGAUUUUUCACUGUUUAGGCCCUUUAUCUCUCAAAUCUCGCAAUAGUUUUAAUAUAAUGUCAGCAAUUCUCUACUACACUGCCAAUCGCUGUUGAGUAUCGGGGUCACAUGUACCACCGCAGCCUAUCUGCUAGGUAUAUUAGCUGGAGCGGGGAAGUAUGAAAGAUUAGGACGCGUUGGGAGGAGCAGAGCUGUAGGAGCCAACUACUGUGAGCCGAGAGGAGAUGAGAUGAGAAAAACCCGGUUGUGUGAGAUAUAAACUGAGGAAUUGGCCAGGUUUUGAUGGCGAGCUGAAGAUCCAGGCCUAGAGCCUAAGAACGAUUGCACUUUUGGUGCAUGAAGACUUCUGAUUCUCCUGCCAGGCUGGUAGGAGGCUCCUUGCAGCCAACGAACAAUUUGUGCCCACUCUGAUAUGACUUAUGUAAGUCCAGGACCUGCACGGCACCAAGCCCUCUAUAAUUAACUUGUGUGGGACCUCUAACCAACCCCAGCUUGGGGUGGAUGAACUGAAGAGUGUAGGUCUAUCAAUUAAGGAAUUGUGGGAUUGAUUGAUUAAUUUUGUUUUUCUUUUGCGCAUUUUAUAUGGCCAUUCGAAUGUUUCAUUGAUGUUGUAAAUAUGUAUAUAAUUUUUCUCACUUUAAAUACAAGGCACUUGCAACUGCAAA